AUUUCCCUAGUAACGGCGAGUGAAGAGGAAAGAGCUCAAAGUUGGAACCUGUUUGGCCUAGCUAAACAGGAUUGUAAACUGUAGAAGUGUUUUCCAGGCAAUCCGAGUUAAUAAGUCCUUUGGAACAGGGCAUCAUAGAGGGUGAGAAUCCCGUCUUUGAUUCGAGAUAUUUUGUCUUUUGCGAUACACUUUCAAAGAGUCAGGUUGUUUGGGAAUGCAGCCUAAAUUGGGUGGUAAAUCUCACCUAAAGCUAAAUAUUGGCGAGAAACCGAUAGCGAACAAGUACCGUGAGGGAAAGAUGAAAAGAACUUUGAAAAGAGAGUUAAACAGUAUGUGAAAUUGUUAAAAGGGAACCGUUUGGAGCCAGACUGGCUUGUCUGUAAUCAAUCUAGGUUUCGUGCCUGGAUGCACUUGCAGACUAUUUGCCUGCCAACGACAAUUUUUUUUGAGUGUAAAAACUAUUGGAAAUGUGGCCAUAUUUAUUUAUUGGUGUUAUAGUCCUUUAGAAAAUACCUUGAAUUGGAUUGAGGAACGCAGCGAAUGCUUCUCUUUUGAGGCAAAGUCUUUUAUUGGGAUUUACGGAUCAGACUGUGGCAUUGUCACAAGACUUGAAGUUUAAACCUAUUUUUGAAC
rnacentral:rRNA from 1 species